AUUGAACGCUGGCGGCAGGCCUAACACAUGCAAGUCGAACGGUAACAGGAAGAAUCUUGCUUCUUUGCUGACGAGUGGCGGACGGGUGAGUAAUGUCUGGGAAACUGCCUGAUGGAGGGGGAUAACUACUGGAAACGGUAGCUAAUACCGCAUAACGUCGCAAGACCAAAGAGGGGGACCUUCGGGCCUCUUGCCAUCGGAUGUGCCCAGAUGGGAUUAGCUAGUAGGUGGGGUAACGGCUCACCUAGGCGACGAUCCCUAGCUGGUCUGAGAGGAUGACCAGCCACACUGGAACUGAGACACGGUCCAGACUCCUACGGGAGGCAGCAGUGGGGAAUAUUGCACAAUGGGCGCAAGCCUGAUGCAGCCAUGCCGCGUGUAUGAAGAAGGCCUUCGGGUUGUAAAGUACUUUCAGCGGGGAGGAAGGGAGUAAAGUUAAUACCUUUGCGCAUUGACGUUACCCGCAGAAGAAGCACCGGCUAACUCCGUG
rnacentral:rRNA from 1 species